ensembl:lncRNA
UCCUGUUAAGGACAAUGGGACAUGUAAGAUUGAAUCUCAACUAGUUUCUACACUCUCAAGACUACCACAUAGAAGAGAGAAGAUGCAUAACUAUACAAACAAGUGUGUGGGCUACUCAUUGUGGAGGCCUCUUUUGUGCUGGCGCACAGGCUUAGUUUCUCCUUGGCAUGUGAGAUCUUCAUGGACCAGGGAUCGAACCCACGUUCCCUGCAUUGGCAGCUCCUCUCUUCCAGCCAAACUCAUCCAUACAUACCUCAGUGCAUACACCCAUAGUCCUGUCUAGACCUGUGAUAGUGCAUCCUGUGAAGACCUUCCCUUUGCUUAUCUAAGAACUCCUCUCCUUCAAGCCAUCCUACCCUCGAGAAGACUUCCUCCUCUAGAGAAAUCCUUUGCCACUUCUUCACGACCCAGAUAAUCACGAUGGUGUGAUCACUGACCUAGAGCCAGACAUCAUGGAAUGUGAAGUCAAGUGGGCCUUAGAAGGCAUCACUUCGAACAAAGCUAGUGGAGGUGAUGGAAUUCCAGCUGAGCUAUUUCAAAUCCUGAAAGAUGAUGCUGUGAAAGUGCUGCACUCAAUAUGCCAGCAAAUUUGGAAAACUCAGCAGUGGCCACAGGACUGGAAAAGGUCAGUUUUCAUUCCAAUCCCAAAGAAAGGUGAUGCCAAAGAAUGCUCAAACUACCGCACAAUUGCACUCAUCUCACACGCUAGUAAAGUCAUGCUCAAAAUUCUCCAAGCCAGGCUUCAGCAAUACAUGAACCAUGAACUUCCUGAUGUUCAAGCUGGUUUUAGAAAAGGCAGAGGAACCAGAGAUCAAAUUGCCAACAUCUGCUGGAUCAUGGAAAAAGCAAGAGAGUUCCAGAAAAAAUCUAUUUCUGCUUUAUUGACUAUGCCAAUAUUAUUGUGUGGAUCACAAUAAACUGUGGAAAAUUCUGAAAGAGAUGGGAAACCAGACCACCUGACCUGCCUCUUGAGAAAUCUGUAUGCAGGUCAGGAAGCAACAGUUAGAACUGGACAUGGAACAACAGACUGGUUCCAAAUAGGAAAAGGAGAACGUCAAGGCUGUAUAUUGUCACCCUGCUUAUGUAACUUAUAUGCAGAGUACAUCAUGAGAAACACUGGACUGGAAGAAACACAAGCUGGAAUCAAGAUUGCCAGGAGAAAUAUCAAUAACCUCAGAUAUGCAGAUGACACCACUCUUAUGGCAGGAAGUGAAGAAGAACUAAAAAGCCUCUUGAUGAAAGUGAAAGUGGAGAGUGAAAAAGUUGCCUUAAAGCUCAACAUUCAGAAAAUGAAGAUCAUGGCAUGCGGUCCCAUCACUUCAUGGGAAAUAGAUGGGGAAACAGUGGAAACAGUGUCAAGACUUUAUUUUUUGGGGCUCCAAAAUCACUGCAGAUGGUGACUGCAGCCAUGAAAUUAAAAGACGCUUACUCCUUGGAAGGAAAGUUAUGACCAACCUAGAUAGCAUAUUCAAAAGCAGAGACAUUACUUUGCCAACAAAGGUCUGUCUAGUCAAGGCUAUGGUUUUUCCUGUGGUCAUGUAUGGAUGUGAGAGUUGGACUGUGAAGAAAGCUGAGUGCCAAAGAAUUGAU